rnacentral:lncRNA from 1 species
CAUUGUUUAAUUCUUGAGUUCCACAAUAGAAGUCUAUGCAAUUUACAAAGGUUUUGAUGAGCAUUGUUUAAUUCUUGAGUUCCACAUUACAAGUAGUCUUCGCUAUUUAGCAAAGCUUUCAUGAGUAUUGCUUAUAUAUUGAGUUCUACAAUAAAAGUCUAUGUAAUUUAAGCAAACCUUUGAUGAGCAUUCUUUCAUUCUUGAGUUCCACAUUAGAAGUCUACGCAAUUUUGCAAAUCUUUGAUGAGUAUUAUUUAAUUCUACAGUUCCAUAAUAGAUGUAGAUUUCGCAAUUUAGCAAAGCUAUUAUGAGCAUAGUUUAAUUCUUAAGUUCCACAAUAGAUGUCUAUGCAAUUUAAGCAAAGCUUUGUUGAGCAUUGUUUCAUUCUUGGGCUCUACGUUGCAAGUCUAUGCAAUUUCGCAAAGCACUAAUGAGCAUUGUUUAAUUCUUGAGUUCCAUAAUAUAAUUAGUCUUUGCAAUUUAGCAAAGCUUUGAUGAGCAUGUUUAAUUCUUGAGUUCCACAAUCGUAUAUGCAAUUUAAGCAAAGCUUUGAUGAGCAUUGUUUGAUACUUGAGUUCCACAUUAGAAGUCAAUGCAAUUUAGCAAAGCUUUGAUGAGCAUUGUUUAUUUACAGAGUUCCACAAUAAAAGAAAUCUUCGCAAUUUAGCAAAGGUUUGAUGAGCAUUGUUUAAAUCUUUAUUUCCAAAAUAGAAGUCUAAGCAAUUUAAGAAAAGAUUUGAUGAGCAUUGUUUCAUUCUUGAGUUCUACAUUAGAAGUCUAUGCAAUUUUGGAAAGUUUCGAUGAGCAACGUUUAAUUCUUGAGUUCCACAAUAAAAGUAGUCUUCGCAAUUUAGCAAAGCUUUGAUGAGCAAUGUUAAAUUCUUAUGUUCCACAAUAGAAGUCUAUGCAAUUUAAGCAAAGCUUUGAUGAACAUUGUUUCAUUCUUUAGUUCCACAUUAGAAGACUAUGCAACUUAGCAAAGCUUUGAUGUGUAUUGGUUAAUUGUUGAGCUCCAUAGUAGAAGUAGUCUUCGCAAUUUAGCAAAGCUUUAAUCAGCAUUGUUUAAUUCUUAAGUUCCACAAUUGAUGUGGUGUUUUAAGUUUAGCAAAGCUUUUAUGAGCAUUGUUUAAUUCUUGAGUUCCACAAUAGAAGUCUAUGCAAUUUACAAAGGUUUUGAUGAGCAUUGUUUAAUUCUUGAGUUCCACAUUACAAGUAGUCUGCGCUAUUUAGCAAAGCUUUCAUGAGUAUUGUUUAUAUAUUGAGUUCCACAAUAAAAGUCUAUGCAAUUUAAGCAAACCUUUGAUGAGCAUUCUUUCAUUCUUGAGUUCCACAUUAGAAGUCUACGCAAUUUUGCAAAUCUUUGAUGAGUAUUGUUUAAUUCUAGAGUUCCAUAAUAGAUGUAGCCUUCGCAAUUUAGCAAAGCUAUUAUGAGCAUCGUUUAAUUCUUAAGUUCCACAAUAGAAGUCUAUGUAAUUUAAGCAAAGCUUUGUUGAGCAUUGUUUCAUUCUUGGGCUCUAUGUUGCAAGUCUAUGCAAUUUUGCAAAGCACGGAUGAUCAUUGUUUAAUUCUUGAGUUCCAUAAUAUAAAUAGUCUUUGCAAUUUAGCAAAGCUUUGAUGAGCAUUGUUUAAUUCUUGAGUUCCACAAUCGUAUAUGCAAUUUAAGCAAAGCUUUGAUGAGAAUUGUUUGAUACUUGAGUUCCACAUUAGAAGUCUACGCACUUUAGCAAAGCUUUAAUGAGCAUUGUUUAAUUCUAGAGUUCCACAAUAGAAGUUAUCUUCCCGAUUUAGCAAUGGUUUGAUGAGGAUUGUUUAAUUCUUUAGUACCACAAUAGAAGUCUAAGAAAUUUAAGCAAAGCUUUGAUAAGCAUUGUUUCAUUCUUGAGUUCCACGUUAGAAGUCUAUGAAAAUUUUCAAAGUAUUGAUGAGCAUUGUUUAAUUCUUGAGUUCCAUAAUAAAAGUUGUCUUCGCAAUUUAGCAAAGCUUUGAUGAGCAAUGUUUAAUUCUUAAGUUCCACAAUAGAAGUCUAUUCAAUUUAAGGAAACCUUUGUUGAGCAUUGUUUCAUUCUUGAGUUCCACAUUAGAUGUCUAUGCAAUUUAGCAAAGCUUUGAUUUGCAUUGUUUAAUUCUUGAGUUCCACAAUAGAUGCAGACUUUGCAAUUUAGCUAAGAUUUGAUGAGCAUUGAUAAAUUCUUGAGUUCCACAAUAGAAGUCUAUGCAAUUUAAGCAAAGCUUUGACGAACAUUGUUUCAUUCUUUAGUUCCACAUUAGAAGUCUAUGCAACUUAGCAAAGCUUUGAUGUGUAUUGGUUAAUUCUUGAGUUCCAUAGUAGAAGUAGUCUUCGCAAUUUAGCAAAGCUUUAAUGAGCAAUGUUUAAUUCUUAUGUUCCACAAUAGAAGUCUAUGCAAUUUAAGGAAAGCUUUGUUGAGCAUUGUUUCAUUCUUGAGUUCCACAUUAGAUGUAUAUGCAAUCUAGCAAAGCUUUGAUUUGCAUUGUUUAAUUCUUGAGCUCCACAAUAGAUGCAAACUUUGCAAUUUAGCUAAGAUUUGAUGAGCAUUGUUAAAUUCUUGAGUUCCACAUUAGAAGUCUAUGCAACUUAGCAAAGCUUUGAUGUGUAUUAGUUAAUUCUUGAGCUCCAUAGUAGAAGUAGUCUUCGCAAUUUAGAAAAUCUUUAAUCAACAUUGUUUAAUUCUUGAGUUCCACAAUUGAUGUGGUGUUUUAAGUUUAGCAAAGCUUUUAUGAGCAUUGUUUAAUUCUUGAGUUCCACAAUAGAAGUCUAUGCAAUUUACAAAGGUUUUGAUGAGCAUUGUUUAAUUCUUGAGAUCCACAUUACAAAUAGUCUGCGCUAUUUAGCAAAGCUUUCAUGAGUAUUGUUUAUAUAUUGAGUUCCACAAUAAAAGUCUAUGCAAUUUAAGCAAACCUUUGAUGAGCAUUCUUUCAUUCUUGAGUUCCACAUUAGAAGUCUACGCAAUUUUGCAAAUCUUUGAUGAGUAUUGUUUAAUUCUAGAGUUCCAUAAUAGAUGUAGUCUUCGCAAUUUAUUAAAGCUAUUAUGAGAAGCGUUUAAUUCUUAAGUUCCAUAAUAGAAAUCUAUGCAAUUUAAGCAAAGAUUUGUUGAGCAUUGUUUCAUUCUUGGGCUCUACGUUGCAAGUCUAUGCAAAUUUCGCAAUGCACUGAUGAGCAUUGUUUAACUCUUUAGUUCCAUAAUAUAAAUAGUCUUUGCAAUUUAGCAAAGCUUUGAUGAGCAUUGUUUAAUUCUUGAGUUCCACAAUCGUAUAUGCAAUUUAAUCAAAGCUUUGAUGAGCAAUGUUUGAUACUUGAGUUCCACAUUAGAAGUCUAUGCAAUUUAGCAAAGCUUUGAUGAGCAUUGUUUAAUUCUAGAGUUCCACAAUAGCAGUAAUCUUCCCAAUUUAGCAAUAAUUUGAUGAGGAUUGUUUAAUUUUUUAGUACCACAAUAGAAGUCUAAGCAAUUUAGGCAAAGCUUUCAUGAGCAUUGUUUCAUUCUUGAGUUCCACAUUAGAAGUCUAUGAAAUUUUUCAAAAUAUUGAUGAUCAUUGUUUAAUUCUUGAGUUCCACAAUAAAAGUUGUCUUCGCAAUUUAGCAAAGCUUUGAUGAGCAAUGUUUAAUUCUUAAGUUCCACAAUAGAAGUCUAUGCAAUUUAAGGAAAGCUUUGUUGAGCAUUGUUUCAUUCUUGAGGUCCACAUUAGAUGUCUAUGCAAUUUUGCAAAGCUUUGAUUUUCAUUGUUUAAUUCUUGAGUUCCACAAUAGAUGCAGACUUUGCAAUUUAGCUAAGAUUUAACGAGUAUUGUUAAAUUCUUGAGUUCCACAAUAGAAGUCUAUGAAAUUUAACCAAAGCUUUGACGAACAUUGUUUCAUUAUUUAGUUCCAUAUUAGAAGUCUAUGCAACUUAGCAAAUCUUUGAUGUGUAUUGGUUAAUUCUUGAGUUCCAUAGUAGAAGUAGUCUUCGCAAUUUAGCAAAGCUUUAAUCAGCAUUGUUUAAUUCUUGAGUUCCACAACUGAUGUGGUGUUUUAAGUUUAGCAAAGCUUUUAUGAGCAUUGUUUAAUUCUUGAGUUCCACAAUAGAAGUCUAUACAAUUUACAAAGGUUUUGAUGAGCAUUGUUUAAUUCUUGAGUUCCACAUUAGAAGUAGUCCUCGCUAUUUAGCAAAGCUUUCAUGAGUAUUGUUUAUAUAUUGAGUUCUACAAUAAAAGUCUAUGCAAUUUAAGCAAACCUUUGAUGAGCAUUCUUUCAUUCUUGAGUUCCACAUUAGAAGUCUACGCAAUUUUGCAAAUCUUUGAUGAGUAUUGUUUAAUUCUACAGUUCCAUAAUAGAUGUAGACUUCGCAAUUUAGCAAAGCUAUUAUGAGCAUGGUUUAAUUCUUAAGUUCCACAAUAGAUGUAUAUGCUAUUUAAGCAAAGCUUUGUUGAGCAUUCUUUCAUUCUUGGGCUCUACGUUGCAAGUCUAUGCAAUUUCGCAAAGCACUAAUGAGCAUUGUUUAAUUCUUGAGUUCCAUAAUAUAAUUAGUCUUUGCAAUUUAGCAAAGCUUUGAUGAGCAUGUUUAAUUCUAGAGUUCCACAAUCGUAUAUGCAAUUUAAGCAAAGCUUUGAUGAGCAUUCUUUGAUACUUGAGUUCCACAUCAGAAGUCAAUGCAAUUUAGCAAAGCUUUGAUGAGCAUUGUUUAUUUACAGCGUUCCACAAUAAAAGAAAUCUUCGCAAUUUAGCGAAGGUUUGAUGAGCAUUGUUUAAAUCUUUAGUUCCACAAUAGAAGUCUAAGCAAUUUAAGCAAAGAUUUGAUGAGCAUUGUUUCAUUUUGAGUUCUACAUUAGAAGUCUAUGCAAUUUUGGAAAGUUUCG